GGGGAGGGGGCGAGGGAGGAGCCGCCUGUCCGCCCCCGGGGGGGUACCCGGCCUCACGACAGCCUGAGGUUUUCCGCGUGAGACUGUGUUCACAUCCACGCAGCCAGCGUCCAUGUGGGGUCUGGGGCCUGAGGGGGUGGACGAUCUGCCAUCCUUUCAGUUGAAACAUCCUUUUCAAGUUGGUGAAGGUCAAGCACAGACACCGUGUGAUCCCUACCACCUGCGUUAGGGGCCCAGAAGGAGAGGAAGUGUGGGGUCUCUCGUGUGAUGCUGGAUUCUGCCUCCUGGGCGCUAGUUCCCUGGUGUCCUCCUGCCCCGUGCAAGCGUGUGGUGGACACGCCUCUCACCUCAGCCGGCCACCAGCCCUCACUUACUCGGCAUCUAACGAGUGUUCACCGUCUGAAAGGCCUUUGCAGAAAUGAGAGCGGGGCCUUGGAGACGUCCGACUGGCUGGCUGAGACUCUGCUGUGCCGGGCAAACACUAGCGCAGGCCCCUGCGUCCGUCGUCCAUCCGUGGUGCUCCCUGCCUGCCGCCAGCCUAAGAGGUGAUGGACACGUGUUUCUGCCGCCGCGUGGGGUCCAGGCCCAGGUUCCGCAUCACCAGCGGUUCUCAGGCAGCAUCUGAAGUGGGUGCCUUCUCUUGUUUUCACGGAGACUGAUUCCAGCAGUUACUGGAUGUAAAAGAAUGUUGCAAAGUGUUAAAAAAUCACGGAUCUGGUUUAAGGGGUAGAUGAGAGUUCUCUGAAUUACUACUGUAACUUUUCCUGAGGCUGGAAAGUGUUUCAAAGUAAAAAGGCAGAAAGACAAGCAGCGACCGUCGCGCUGCUGGAGAGCAGGCCUUGCUCCCACUUACUUCCCAUGCAGACUGUUUCUCUUGGUGGCGGAGAGCACGAGUGUUAGAGGUGACGCUUCAAGUUACAGCGCGUGUCAGACUUAAAAUCCUAGGAAAUAGUCUUCUGCCUUGUUAAGCCUCGUCAGCUUUCUUUUUAAGAAAACUAAAAAAAAAUUUACAUU